UCAACUUUUGUCACUAAAAAUUCAAUUUUUCCAACCACAAUAUCAGAUGUAGGGGUAAAUUUUCAAAGGCCAGACUCCAUAGCCCUCUCAUCUCUCACAUCCACCAUUAAUGGCCUUAACCAAGCUCCAAUUUUUCUGACCAACCUCCACUACAAAUACUGAACUCCACUCACUAAAAUCCUCAAGCAAACAAUCUCAAAAGACUCCGAUUUCGUAGACAAGGACUAUCAAGAGCGCUAAUACGUUCGUGAACUUAACUUUGGGCACGCGUCACGAGGCACUGAGGACGUAUUUGGAGUAUGAUUAGCUAAACUUGAGGAUUAGGAGCACUUGUAAAGAAGCUACAAUGCAUAAGGACCGUUUGCAUAUUUCAUCGUACGAGUUUGAGCAAAAACGAAGCGAAAAAUCAUUAGAAGAAAUGUGAAAAAGGAGUCACGUCUACUCUUCUGAUCAUAACUUUUGAUGUGCUCUUUAAAAUCGAGUAAUUCCGGAAGAUUUGAAAAAUGGACUUGAAGAGCUUUCCAACGAUAGGUGGCACGCUGCGGGCAGACUUCUAGUCAAUGAGCUAUGCUUUCCGGAAGAUUGCACUGUUUCUGCUGGAAUCUGCCACACGUACGCGCGGAUCAAUAAUCCGCCUAUUAAUGAUUUAUUUACUUUCCUUAUCUUGUAAAUUACUUUCCUAGUCAUAUUAGGUUAUUGAAUAUUUCAGAUUAGUUUUUCAUUCUUCCUCUCUCCUCUCCCUCUGACGUUAUUUUUUAGGUUUUAGUUUUAGUUUUCUUGUCCUCUUUUUCUCUCUAGGUUCUAGUUGUAAACCCUAGUUUGUUAUUCUUCUUCAUUAAUUCAUGAAUCCUAUUAGUUUCUUUCA